ensembl:snRNA U6 U6 spliceosomal RNA
GUGCUCCCUUUGGCACCACAGGUACUGGAAUUGGAAAGAUACAGAGAAGAUCAGAACAUCCCAGUGCAAGAGCGGCAUGCACAUUUGUGAAGCGUUGCACAGUUUU